GGAAGUAUGGCUGAGUCAGGCUUAAGGCACCAGUUUGCUAAACUGGCGAGUGAAUAAAGUAGCUCCACGAGUUCGAAUCUCGUUGCUUCCGC
rnacentral:tRNA from 1 species